rfam:Triticum urartu cultivar G1812 contig1176770, whole genome shotgun sequence.
CUUGUACUCCCUCCGUCCGGAAUUACUUGUCGUGAAAAUGAAUAAAAAUAGAUGUAUCUAAAACUAAAAUACAUCUAAAUACAUUCAUUUCUCCAACAAGUAUUUCCGGACGGAGGGAGUAAUUU